rnacentral:tRNA from 1 species
GGGCGGGUAGCUCAGCCGGUUAGAGCGCGGGGCUCAUAACCCUGUGGUCGCAGGUUCGAAUCCUGCCCCGCCCACCU